CAGCUUAGUGAUCCAACACAUAUUGUGUUUGUUAAUCAUAUUUCUAAAAUUAAUCUGCUUGAAAUAAUUACUUUUCAUCUGCAGUUUGUUUAUUACCUCAGGGUUAUAUCAACUCUGAAAUUCAAGUGCCAAAAUACUGUUUACAUGAAUUUUAGAAAACUGUUAUAUUGUUUUUAAACAGCAAACAAAUGAAAUCAAACAGACAAACUAGGUAUGAUGUGUGCGUUUAUUUUCAUAUUGCACAACCCUAGUGAAAAUUUCAAACUUUUUUGUAUUUUAAAAUAAUAUAUGCAUUAAGGCUGGCAAUGCUCCUGAAAGUGUGUAAUGGAGGCACGUACUGGCUGAUACAACAGUAAAUUAAAUCUUUGUUACAAUGAUCCAUUUCAUCACAGACUACCAUAUCUUUCCUCCAAAACAUUCCCAUUUCUGUCAUAAUUAUAUGUUAUAGAUGUCCUGAUUUUUUGUAUAGAUCAGACCCUGUUUAGACUUGAUGUAUGGUAUGCUCAGUGGUGAAACUCUUACAGAGUUGUAACGUAUGUAUUACUGUGGUCAGAAAUUGAUUGAGGCCAGUAGCAUGCAGAUAUGCAUUUCAGCAAAUUAGACAAUGCAAAUGGUAUACACUGUACAAGUCAUAUUGAUAGAUUGACAUUGAGCUGUGGAUGCAGCAUUAGACAAUGUGACCUCUAUCAAACUUUUUAUUACCUAGCUAUUUCUCACUAUUGUGUAGAUUAUAUUUAUAUUGUGGAGUGGGAUAAACUUUUAUCUAGUCACUGGUUUUUAUUAUGAAUGACUGUGAUAUACAAGUAGUAUUUAGAGAUACUUGAUGCCCAAAAUACAGAAGCAUUUCAUUUCUCAUGUGAAUUAAAAAGGAAAAAAAUAAUUAUUUUAUCAUUUUUAGUAUGUGCUUUAAAGAUAUUUGUAAAAACACUGUUACUGGUAUAUUAAAUUUGAAAAAGCAGUUACCUGAUAGACUAUUUGCAAUUUUUGUUAACCAAUAGACAAUAUGUUUAUUUGAUAAUGGGUAAAGGUAUUUCAUGAAUAUUGUGUGAUUAAGUUUAUUAACCAACACAUGAUUCAGUCCCUUCAUCAAUGCACUUUACAAGUAGAUGGUAUAACAACAUAUCAGUUAAUUUAUUUUAGCCUUCACUUUUAUUGUACAAAUGUAGUCAGUUUUUCAUUUUUCUAUUGGUUGAAUCUUUAAGAUUUUAAUAAAGUUAUCCUUAUU
rnacentral:misc_RNA from 1 species